rnacentral:lncRNA from 1 species
CCUCUAUAAAAGGAAGUGUGUGUAGCAUAAAUUGAGUUCAGUUUUUACUUGAUCAUUCAUCCCCAUUUCAAUACAACCUUCAUCCAAACACAUCCAUUCAUCUUUACAUCCAUUCCUUCAUAUAAACAAACCUUCAAACACUCACCAACACCUUGUGCCGUAGCAAAGGAAGGGAAGGAAAGUGCUUGGACGUGCUUGCUGUCCAACUUGGAUUGUUGGAGCAUUUAGGUGUUUUCUUUCUUUUGUUUCUAAUGUUUAAAUUCAUUUCCUUUCGUUUUGUUGUAAAUAUGAGUGGCUAAACCCCUCUUGGCUAGGGGUGAUUUCAAAGCCAUGAUUAUGUGUGCAAUAUAAUUUGAUAAAUUCCAAUUAUGAACUCUUGAAUCGUGAAUGCAAUUGGCUUAACUAUUUGAUUGAUAACUUAUUUGUAUUUGUUAAUUAAGGGUCGACACUUAAUUGGCAUGCAUAAAUCCGUUGUUAGAAUAUAAGGAAGUUUCACAUAAUCAUUACAAACUUAUAUUCACAUGUAGUGAAGGUCGCUUAUAAACGAUCACGUUAAGUUCACUUCCUAGCAUAAGCGACAUGAUGUCAUAGUUGCAAGUGCUUUGUCAAU